AUGGGCAACAAAGCAGCCAUAAUGCAAAUUGCAAUGGCCAGCCUAUGGAUGCAGGACCAGGGAGCAGUGCAAGUAGCUUCGGCAAGGGAGUGUAAGCCACCGAUCCACCAGUUUGGCGGGUUGUGCACGAAUGACAACAAUUGUUUACGUAAUUGCCUGGCCGAUGGUUUUACCAAAGGAGUGUGCCAGGGUUUUAACGGAGGCAUAUGUUUGUGCACCAGGGACUGCUAG
rnacentral:rRNA from 1 species